rnacentral:rRNA from 1 species
AUUGAACGCUGGCGGCAUGCCUAACACAUGCAAGUCGAACGGCAGCACAGCAGUAGCAAUACUGUGGGUGGCGAGUGGCGGACGGGUGAGGAAUACAUAGGAAUCUACCCUGUCGUGGGGGAUAACGUAGGGAAACUUACGCUAAUACCGCAUACGACCGAGAGGUGAAAGUGGGGGACCGCAAGGCCUCACGCGAUUGGAUGAGCCUAUGUCCGAUUAGCUAGUUGGCGGGGUAAGAGCCCACCAAGGCGACGAUCGGUAGCUGGUCUGAGAGGAUGAUCAGCCACACUGGAACUGAGACACGGUCCAGACUCCUACGGGAGGCAGCAGUGGGGAAUAUUGGACAAUGGGCGCAAGCCUGAUCCAGCAAUGCCGCGUGGGUGAAGAAGGCCUUCGGGUUGUAAAGCCCUUUUGUACGGGAAGAAAAGCUGUCGAUUAAUACUCGAUGGUCAUGACGGUACCGUAAGAAUAAGCACCGGCUAACUUCGUGCCAGCCGCCGCAGUAACAC